CUGCAACCCGCCUGCGUGAAGUUGGAAUCGCUAGUAAUCGCGGAUCAGCAUGCCGCGGUGAAUACGUUCCCGGGCCUUGUACACACCGCCCGUCACACCAUGAGAGUCGGGAACACCCGAAGUCCGUAGCCUAACCGCAAGGGGGCGCGGCCGAAGGUGGGUUCGAUAAUUGGGGUGAAGUCGUAACAAGGUACC
rnacentral:rRNA from 1 species